UUCUGUUAGUGGUCUGGCGUUGUUAUUUUCUCUCUACCCGUUUUCCUGAAAUACGGGUAAAGAGGAGCCUCAUUGGCUAACUUUAUCUUACGCUAAAGUUUUUGUCCAAUUAGAUGCAGAGGAUGCAGCAUGGACUUAUAUUAGUGCAGGAGGCGGGAUGUUAUGUUUCCGGAUUGCGGUUUGGAAAAAAAAAAACACCGGGUACUGAGUGAUACAGAGGGACAAUACUUGAGGCCUGGAUUAUUCAUAUAAAUGCCAGUUACCAUGGAAUAAGUAUCCGAACAUUAUUUACAUCAUACCAUACCAUAUACUGGGAUGUUAUGCUGAACAAAAAAUUAUACGUAUGUUGAAAGAUGGAGUCUAAUCAGCAGGUUGAUUUGGAGCCCAAUAAGGAUGACCUGCCUUUGAGAGCUAACACAAACCAUAUACUUGUCAGACACUAUGUGCUGGACCUCAGUGUUGACUUUCAGACAGAGGUCAUUGGAGGAAGUAUUGUUCUGUUCCUCGAGCCUUGUAAAGGACCCAGCAGGACAGUGGAGUUAGAUUUGGUAUCCCAAGUCCAAAAAGGUGAUCUAAACACUCCAUAUAUUUAUGGUGAAAAUGCCAGAGGCUUUAGAAGUCCUUCACCUGAACCUGAAAUCUUAUCACAAGGAAGCCAAAAUGAUGCCAGGAACACGUCAUGGGAUGAUGUGAGUAAAGACUUCACCUUGAUUUUAGAUUGUUGUGACCUGUCUGUGUCCAAAGUGGAAGAAGUGGAUGUGUGCACUGUUUCUGAACUCUGGAACCUUCUAGAAGUUGAUAAGGUGGCUCUGGACUCUACUCAGGAUUCCUCGUUUGGUUUAGUGCAGAGACUCAUGUCUAUUCCUUCAGCCAGAUGGAGACAGCAGCAGGAUCUGUAUCUCCAGUGUAGCUGUGCCCAGGCUGUCAAUCCAGCUGAGCCUUUACUUUUUCACAUUGACAAGUGGAGCCUUCAAAUCAGGAAGAAGGGGGUUCAAUCCCCUCAUGCCUUCCCUUGUGCACUCAGGAUCUGGUACAAGACAAAGCCCUCAGGGGGCUCUGUAAGGUGGACCAAGGACCAGGAUGGCAGGUGUUGUGUUUACACCAUGGGCUCACCAAUCAAUAACAGGGCUCUCUUCCCGUGCCAAGAACCACCUGUUGCAAUGUCAACGUGGCAAGCCCAUGUAAAAGCCCCGUGUGAAUAUAUGGUUCUGAUGAGUGGUGAGAAUCAGCCUGUUCCUGUACCUGACAAGAAAGGUUUUUUCCAGUGGGAUUAUUACGUUACUAUGCCAAUGCCUGCCUCGACUUUUACUAUAGCUGUUGGUAAGUGGCAGGAAGCCAAAUCAUUGCCUCACAACCAUGAAGAGGUGAAAAGUGAGGAGCCUUGUGCAAAAUCAGACCCCAAAAACUUUGGUUCUCAGGCCAAUUUAGUAGAUAAUCAAAGCCCACAUUACAAGGAGGAAGAUGAGAAGGAGUUUUGCGCCCAUUUAGAUUAUCCAUGUCGUUUCACACACAGAGGUUCAAUCACCCAGGUGGUCAUACCCCACCGGGUUUUUGCACCAUCCUGUCACCUGAAGAAGGCUGAAUCCACACUACUGCCUCUUUUGCCUUUCUGUUUGGCUGCUGCUCACUCUGUAUUAGGCAUCCACCCAUUCUCACGCCUGGAUGUGCUCAUUGUUCCUCCAGGGUUCUCCAGUCUGGGCAUGGCCAGCCCGCAUAUCAUCUUCCUGUCACAGAGUGUGUUAGCGGGUAACAGAAUCCUGUGUGGGACAAGGCUGUGCCAUGAGAUUGCUCACUCCUGGUUUGGUUUGGCCAUCGGGGCACGGGACUGGACAGAGGAGUGGAUCAGCGAAGGUUUUGCUACAUACCUAGAAGACGUGUUCUGGGCCCAAAUCCAGCAGUCGCAAAUAGGCAGCACUGAGAAUGAGGAGCAGAAGCAGCUGAAGGCUUUGCUGAGAUGGAGAAGACUGAAGGAUGAAUUGGAGAACUCUGAAGAGGAGCUGCAGGUCCUUAGACCCAAUAAGGACACUACAGGAGAGGUCGGAGCAUCUGGAGCCUCCAUCGUGAAGCAUGCCCUUAACCCAGGAAAACCAUUCAUGCAAGUGCACUACCUCAAAGGUUACUUCCUCCUGAUGUUCCUGGCUGGGAAAGUGGGUGAGGAUGAGUUCUUGAACUUCUUCAGACAUUUCACGAGAAGAUUUCAUGGGCAGCUCAUUCUUUCUCAGGACUUCCUGCAGAUGUUUCUGGAUACAUUCCCAUCUUUGAAAAGUCAAGGCCUCAGUCUUGAAUCUAUUUACUCAGACUGGCUGGAUACACCUGGAAUUCCGAAGUGGCUUGGAGAAGCCAGCUCGACGUGGUCACUCUCUCCACCAGUCGCACAAGUCUCUGAGGAGGUUGUAAAAUGGAUGCACCUCAGUGGCGGCACCCGAAAGGGCACCAAGCGGAAGAGAGCAGGGCCCAAGGUGAACUUCAAAGAGUUGAAUCCGUGGCAGUUGGUCCUGCUGUUGGAAUUCCUUCUGGAAGAGACAGAGCUGAGGGUGUCCUGUCUUAACCUGCUGCAAGCCACAUACAAACUACGCAGCCAGGAUGCUGAGAUACAUCAUUUCCAUUUUAGUCAUAACAAUCUGCACCAGUGAUCUGUGUAUCGGACCAUUCUGUUGCUGGCCAGUCCAGGAUUAUUGUCCUUGUGGCUAAUUAGAUUCAUAUGAUGCUGAAAAUCAGACAGAUUUUAAGAAAAUAAUUCAUCCUUAUCAAAAAACCUAUUUAUUUGUUUAAUAGAACCACAUUAAUUCUGGAGCUGACUGUAGCUGCACCCUAACCUUUCCAGUAUUUAAUCUGUGAUUUGGUUACACUUUGCUGCAGCCAGUUAGGCUACUCUGUGAUUCUGCUCCAUUCAGAGCAGGCCAGCUUCUUUGCGGGAGCGAAAUCUGGCAGAUCAGCAGUAAGCCACCAGCCCUGUUCUUUUGUAAUGGAGCAGUUUUAGAAGGCUAACAGAUGGAAAGUGAUAGGAGGUGGUAAGCACAGUGAGUCCCAGACUACCACGGCUUGUUUCAGCCCGGAGCCAAUGGGCAGGUUUUCAGCCGAACCUUCCAGGAAAAACAAAAGGCUCUCUAAAAAUAAAUUGGGUUAUUACUUACCACUCCCCCUCUCCUCUCAUCCUUCCUUCUCCCAUUCUGCCUUCCUCCCUCCUCCUCUUCCUCCCUGCUACUUCUGCAUGAUAGCAGACAGAAUUUUCCAGCCUGCCAUUUAUUGCUACACUUAGGUAAUGUAGGCUUUUAGCAUGGACUUUAUUAGCUUCAAGGGCAGGGUGGUGCUCAGCGCUCAAAACAUACCACAUUUUUCUUCAGAUUGACAAAUAAUAUUGAGACGUUUCUUCCAAUUUUCCAACAAUCAGCUUUAUAGGAACACAGUAGUCAGUACUGAGCGUCCCAUCAUGAGGCGGGGGAAAUUAUGAGAAAAUGCAUUCACAGAAAAUUAGAUUCAUUUCUUUGAUGCUUUAUAGUUUGUGAAUGUGAUCUGUUCAAUAACCUAAAAUGCCUCAACAUGAAGCAGAUGCAGUUGUACUAUGCUUCAGGGCAGUAUGUUGUGUUUGAAGGGACUGUAAAUCUUGUGUAGCUCACCCAGGCUGCCAGCUCUAGCUUUCAGUGUGAUGCUUUGUGACAAGGUGAGCUGAAGUCUAAGGUUUAUAGCAAAAUUGACACUGGGUCACAGUUUGGUUUAGACUUUGGUCAGUUUUCCCCCUCAGGCAAGUUUUCAUUCUUUUGACUAAUGAAGUUGUAUUGUGCCCAAAAAUUUAUUUGAAUCAUGACGGAAUCUUUGAGCUGUGCUUGAGUUUCCCACAGAAAUCUACACAACUCUCCGAACCUGGCGCUUCCCUUCACUCCCAGGAAUGCAGCGCAUGGCGUGUGAGCAUGGUGUGAAACAUCGCUGGUGUGAGCUGGUGGUCAAGCAUAAAUAUGCAGCUGCAUAUAGAGAUGUUGAACACUUCCUCAUUCAUGACCAGGCCAUGGGUGUAUAUCUGUUUGGUGAGCUGAUGCUGCAGGAAGACGGGCGUCAGCAAGCUUUAGCAAGACACUGCUUGUCAGCCAUCAAAGAUGAUAUGGACCAAUCAGCAUGCAAGAUUGUGGAAGAAAUGAUU